rnacentral:rRNA from 1 species
UACGGGGGGGGCAAGCGUUGUUCGGAAUUACUGGGCGUAAAGGGCUCGUAGGUGGCCAACUAAGUCGGACGUGAAAUCCCUCAGCUUAACUGGGGAACUGCGUCCGAUACUGGAUGGCUUGAGUUUGGGAGAGGGAUGCGGAAUUCCAGGUGUAGCGGUGAAAUGCGUAGAUAUCUGGAGGAACACCGGUGGCGAAGGCGGCAUCCUGGACCAAUACUGACACUGAGGAGCGAAAGCCAGGGGAGCAAACGGG